CCAGCUCUCUCAGUUCCGUCGCCACGGCCUUUUUUUUUUUUUUUGUUUUCUUGAUUUCUGAUGCAAUUCAAAUUUCAGUCACUCUGAUAAAAUUCUCUCGGUCAAAUUCGUUUUUUUCGAUCUGUUUGUUUGAUUCGAUUGGUUCUUGGCGUAGCUGCAAGGAGAUUACAUUGAGCUCCACCGGAAGCGCCAUGGCUACCGGCUCGACCAUUUCGAUCGAAAUAUAAAAACCAUGCCCAAAAGGCUCUUGGUAUCAAAGGAAGAUGUUUGCAAACAAACGGUAUGUUGAAGUGGCGCUGAUGAAGAAAACUGGAGCUACACUGCCUCAUAAUUGAGCUUGUAGAUAGAUUCAAUGGCGCUCAAUGUGUUUUGCGUGUAUCCACACCAAUGGAUUUGUUCAAGCAAAUGUCUGUUACAUAAGCACAUGUUUGUCCUGAUGUUCCUUUCGGGCUUGCUAUACAAGAGGAGUUGUCAUCUCGAUGUACCGAUUCAUAAGGGAGCUAUUACUGCAUUUCUUCUGGAUCAUGAUGUUACAACACAUGCAAAGGUUCUUAGCCACACUACUAAGCAGAAGAGGGAGGAAAAGGCUGGCGAGUGGGAGGUCCCACUUCCAAAGGUCAGAAACUGUGGCUGAAGAUGAGAUGUUUAAAGUUGCUCGAUAUGGCUACCACAAAAGCAAGUUUCCUACAAUUUAAUCAUAUUAUUGAAACUAGUAAAAUGUAUCUGCUAACACAAAUUCAGUGAAAAGAAAUUAAAUGUUUUCUUACCAAAAAAGAUA